UACGAACCGUGCGAACGUUAUUCGGAAUCACUGGGCUUAAAGCGCGUGUAGGCGGGACGGCACGUCGGUCGCUGAAAGCCCCCGGCUCAACCGGGGAAGGGGCGCCGAUACGACCGUCCUCGAGGGACGUAGGGGGACCUGGAACUUCCGGUGGAGCGGUGAAAUGCGUUGAGAUCGGAAGGAACGCCCGUGGCGAAAGCGAGGUCCUGGACGUUUACUGACGCUGAGACGCGAAAGCCAGGGGAGCGAACGGG
rnacentral:rRNA from 1 species